rnacentral:rRNA from 1 species
UACGAAGGGGGCUAGCGUUGCUCAGAAUCACUGGGCGUAAAGGGUGCGUAGGCGGCGCGGUAAGUCGGGUGUGAAAUCUCGGAGCUUAACUCCGAAACUGCAUUCGAUACUGCCGUGCUUGAGGACUGGAGAGGAGACUGGAAUUUACGGUGUAGCGGUGAAAUGCGUAGAUAUCGUAAGGAAGACCAGUGGCGAAGGCGGGUCUCUGGACAGUUCCUGACACUGAGGCACGAAGGCCAGGGGAGCAAAACGGG